rnacentral:rRNA from 1 species
CCUACGGGCGGCAGCAGUGAGGAAUAUUGGUCAAUGGACGAGAGUCUGAACCAGCCAAGUAGCGUGAAGGAUGACUGCCCUAUGGGUUGUAAACUUCUUUUAUAUGGGAAUAAAAUGUUCCACGUGUGGGAUUUUGUAUGUACCAUCUGAAUAAGGAUCGGCUAACUCCGUGCCAGCAGCCGCGGUAAUACGGGGGAUCCGAGCGUUAUCCGGUUUUAUUGGGUUUAAAGGGAGCGUAGGUGGAUUGUUAAGUCAGUUGUGAAAGUUUGCGGCUCAACCGGAAAAUUGCAGUUGAAACUGGCAGUCUUGAGUACAGUAGAGGUGGGCGGAAUUCGUGGUGUAGCGGUGAAAUGCUUAGAUAUCACGAAGAACUCCGAUUGCGAAGGCAGUUCACUGGACUGCAACUGACACUGAGGCUCGAAAGUGUGGGUAUCAAACAGGAUUAGAUACCCUAGUAGUC